rnacentral:sRNA from 1 species
UCAAGAGAAACGCCCCAACGGCGCAUAUCGUCUGGUCCAGUCAUGGGAGGACGCGGUUCCCGGCGCGCGCAAGCGCGGCCCUGGUCUCGACACCGGAGCGGAACCCGGAUCAGGCACCUCAAAAUGCGAAGCGCGAGCUUCGCAUUUUUUU